rnacentral:rRNA from 1 species
UACGUAGGGGGCAAGCGUUGUCCGGAAUUAUUGGGCGUAAAGCGCGCGCAGGCGGUUCUUUAAGUCUUGUGUUUAAUCCCGGGGCUCAACCUCGGUACGCAUGGGAAACUGGGGAACUGGAGUGCAGGAGAGGAAAGUGGAAUUCCACGUGUAGCGGUGAAAUGCGUAGAUAUCUGGAGGAACACCGGUGGCGAAGGCGGCAUCCUGGACCGAGAUUGACGCUGAUGCGCGAAAGCCAGGGGAGCAAACGGG